CCUACGGGUGGCAGCAGUGAGGAAUAUUGGUCAAUGGCCGUAAGGCUGAACCAGCCACGUCGCGUGAGGGAAGAAGGAUCUAUGGUUUGUAAACUUCUUUUAUAGGGGAAUAAGGGUAUCCACGUGUGGAUAUUUGCAUGUACCCUAUGAAUAAGCAUCGGCUAACUCCGUGCCAGCAGCCGAGGUAAGACGGAGGAUGCGAGCGUUAUCCGGAUUGAGUGGGUUGAAAGGGUGCGUAGGUUGUUUUUUAAGUCAGCGGUGAAAGUUUAUGGCUCAACGAGAAAACUGCCGUUGAAACUGGAAGACUUGAGUGUGUGUGAGGUAGGUGGAAUGCGUGGUGUAGAGGUGAAAUGCAUAGAUAUCACGCAGAACAUCGAUUGCGAAGGCAGCUUACUAAGACAUAACUGACACUGAAGAACGAAAGCGUGGGGAUCAAACAGGAUUAGAUACCCUGGUAGUC
rnacentral:rRNA from 1 species